CUGCAGUUUUGCUAUGCACUUCGGAUGCAGAGUAUAAAGAAAAACCCUGUUUUAUGGACUUAGUUUGACUGUUUUAUUCCCCUCCCUCCUAGAACACCAGUUUAAAAACCCUUAAUAACUGUCAUAUUUCCAAACGCUGUCUGUCUUUAACUGUCAGUUUGUUUUCCUCUGAGGAGGAGUUGUUUUGCUGCGUGAGUGCUGUUGCUUUGUGUGCUCGUUAAAACAGACCUGCUUGACCCUUUCUUGAAGCCUUGGCUCAUGCUUGGGGGAUGGGAUAAGUCUGCAG
rnacentral:lncRNA from 1 species